rnacentral:lncRNA from 1 species
UUAGUAUUAUAGAGAGCUGCACUUUUCUACUUUGAGAGAUUGUUCUAAGUUAGAGAAUUUCUUCUUCUUCUUCCUGAAAGACUAAAAACUCCAUUAGAGAGGAGAUCAAUCUCAAGAAGAAGACACAAUCUAGAGUUGGAUUUUAUUUUACCAUUUUUUUAGUUAGUUUUUGCUUUCUAGAUUUAAUUAUAGAGUAGAUUUAUUUUUAUUAGAAAAAAUAUGAUCUCUAAACUAUGAGGGGUAUUGAUUUUGAUUAAUGAUAUUUGA